UACGAAGGGGGCUAGCGUUGUUCGGAAUUACUGGGCGUAAAGCGCACGUAGGCGGACAUUUAAGUCAGGGGUGAAAUCCCGGGGCUCAACCCCGGAACGGCCUUUGAUACUGGAGAGCUCGAGUCCGGAAGAGGUGAGUGGAACUCCGAGUGUAGAGGUGAAAUUCGUAGAUAUUCGGAAGAACACCAGUGGCGAAGGCGGCUCACUGGUCCGGUACUGACGCUGAUGUGCGAAAGCGUGGGGAGCAAACAGG
rnacentral:rRNA from 1 species